rnacentral:ncRNA from 1 species
UCGGGUCUUUGGCAGACACCCGGUCACCCAGGACGAUUUCGUCCCAAGUGCUGC